AUUCAAUAAAGAAGUUUAUGAAUACAGUAUGCCUUGGUCAAUGUGGCAGAUGCCUGGGGAAAGAGCUUUCUAGGCAAAUGCAGAAUAGAUGUAGAAGUCUUGACUGAGCAGUGACUUCGUUGUGUGGAAGGAGCAGCAGGACGAUAUGGUUUCCCCACAGUGGACUGGGAGACAAGGGGAAUCCUGGGAACCAUCCCACUGGCCUUGGAGCUUGCUCUAUGGAGUUCAUAUGGUUGAGAAAAAAACCAAAAGAGACAUCCACAGCCCCUAAUAUUGGUGAAGCCAUGGAACAAACAGAAUUCUCCUCUGCUGUUGGUGAUAAUAUAAUAUGAAACAAUCAGUUUGGAUAAAAGUCUGUCUUAUAAAGCUAAGAUGGAUGGCACAAUCUCCCAUUUGACCCAGUAAUUCUGCUCCUUGGUGCUUUUGUAAAUGAAAUUAAAAGAUUUGUAUAUGUA